GCGUCCGUAGCUCAAUGGAUAGAGCAUUAGUCUUCGGAACUAAGGGUUAGGGGUUCGAGUCCCUUCGGGCGCA